ensembl:lncRNA
CUCAAAGAGGGGGUGACCCUGCCCAGCACAUCCAUGGUAAAUGGUCCUCUUUGUGCUGUGACUGAUAGAUGUCACUCUAUCUAGUGAGUGCUCAGAGUAACAUGGGGGAGCCAAGCACGGUGGCACACCAUUCCUAGAGGGAUGAUUUUUAAAACGAGAAGCAGCAUUUUUGGCAGGCAGAGAUUAUCAAGAAAACAAAAUCCUCCUUGGCAACAGCACUGUGUUCAGUUCUGCUUGUAGAAGGGAAAUAAGGAAGUCAUCAGGACGGUCGCUGAGGAGGCAGAAGGGGACUUCCUCGGAGCACACGAGUUUGAGAGGAAAGCCACCUUCAGGAAAGUCAUAGCAGCAAGAACAGGAAGCAACUGGUCAUAUUGUGUCCAGUCUGGAAGCAGAGAGAGGGUCGAGAUCCGGGGGACAGUCUUCAGCCACUGAGCAGAUGAAGCUGGCACCUCUCCAGAGCAUUGCCCGUGGUCUCUGCAGAUAUACUAUGCAGUGGGCAUCAUGG